rnacentral:ncRNA from 2 species
CCGUCCGAGGGGCGCUGCAGCGCAUGAGGCCCAUGCGCGAGGCUCGGGCAGGCGGUCGUCAAUCGCAACGGCGCCCAUUCCCC